rnacentral:tRNA from 1 species
GGAGGCUUGGUUCAGUUGGAGGACGCAGGUCUCAUACAUUUUGUGAUCCAGUCCAACGCCAGAGUAGCCCUGAGGUCGAGAGUUCGAGCCUUACAGUCCCCA